rnacentral:sRNA from 1 species
GUAAACAAAUCAACAAACCACACCAUAAACGGCCUUCUAAGAAUGGCUGCAGUGGAACCCCGUCUCCACUCCACGCCUGUGCUCUGGGAAGUCAGGGGGGACAGGGAGCCCCAUUAAUGGAGGACAGGCCCCCCAGCGGAGCCUGGGAGCCAGUGCCGGCCCUCGGAAGCUGUGGGGCCAGCAGCAAUGCCUCGCGGGGCUGGGAAGACGCUGCGUGAUGCUGGGCCCGUCCGUCACUGCAUGAUGCGGUGCCCAUCCCUCGGUGCAGAUGGAGGAUUUCCAGAUCUACGAGAAGUACUGUCAGAACAAGCCCCGCUCCGAGAGCCUGUGGAGACAGUGCUCCGACUGCCCGUUCUUCCAGGAAUGCCAGAGGAAGCUGGACCACAAGCUGAGCCUGGACUCCUACCUGCUGAAGCCAGUGCAGAGGAUCACCAAGUACCAGCUGCUGCUCAAGGAAAUGCUGAAAUACAGCAAGAACUGCGAGGGGGCUGAGGAC